CGUUUUUGACUAAUAAGAACCGUUUACAAGUACCGUACAGAAUGUUAUGUUUUUUUGUAAAUAGGAAAAGGAUUAAAUGACACAACUGUGAGGUAUAUAUCAUCGUCUAUUUUAGAGAUGAAGCAAGUGACUUUGCAAUACGAAUCGACCAAUGAACCUCCCCUGCCGGAUUCAUCAUUCUUAAGUGCUCGGCCGUGCCAUAUUCAGUUAUGCUUGCAUCGAAGAAAUGAUGACCCAAAUAUAUUUCAACUGGAAGCGCCCUAACCACUGCACUAGGUUGAACAUAUCUGCCGAUUUCGAAUUGAUUCAAAAGUUUAAGCCUCGCCAAUUAGCUUUCCAGAGAUUUUUCAUAUCGUUGAGAAUUGGCUUGUCCCGAUCGUAACGUACGUAACUCAGUGAGACUCUAGAGGAGGAUCCGUCCACGAAAUAUCAAGAGACCUCUCUGUCCCAAAGGAUCGUAUGUGGCAGUAAUUAUGGCGAGAAUUUCAUGGUUUGUGCCUGAUGCUUGAGUGGCUUCUUUUUGAAGCUGGAAAGUCUCUCUCGGCACAACAGGACACUUGCUAGGGUCUUCUCGAUGGGCAACUGGUCUGCAUCUGGAUUGGCGAGCUCGACAGUGUUUGAUAACUCUUCGGGUUCAAUACCAUUGAUAUCUUGUAGUGAGAAGUGCUCUGUAUUAGAAAUCUAAACACAGGGCCAUUGUCGUGAAGAGGCAAAUUUCGUGAGACGAAACAAGGCGUUACAGACAGCGUUCUGAAGACUAGAAGACUCUAAACAAUCAUCAAUAUGACAGUUUCUGUAGAUUGUGUCGGAAACAUAACCAUGAUUCUCCUCUGCGGUGCGCGGUGUCUGCUGCUCGACAAUGAACAUCCUUUUCUGGUAAUUUGAUAUGAUGGAACAUACCCUCGAUUACGCCAGAGAAAAGUAUUUUAUCCUUUCUGAAACGAACCAGCGCCCCAAGAAAGGAGUUCGUUCGGUCUGGUCGUUGGAUUAACUCGGAGUUUAAAGGUUUUAUCAAGUGCUUUGCUGAGUAAUCAUAUUCCACUCUCCCUUUGGCGGAUGGCGAACUUCAUGACCAAUUAUAUGGCUCACAACAAGCUACCAACCGAUUAGCCAAUAUGAAGCCUCGGAUUGGCAUCGAUCCUGAAGGCACCGAGCCCUUUAGGCCCAGAGUCAGUGCCCAAUCCAAUGCCAAUUCCAUGGAAGUAGCCUUAAGAAGGCCGGUGGGAAUCCAAUGGCAACAACUGCGGCACUUCUUUGUGACCGAUCCCUCUUGGACACGGAGCCAUUCAACAUUCAAAAGAUUUGAGCCUCCGUCCGAUUGGCGAAGGCCAAACGAAGAGGACGAAGAACGUCGGGCCGGGUUCUUCUUAAAGAGGACCAACGAUCUGUCUCCGUUCCGAUUGCGGAAGCGAACACUCCCCUCGGAUUUGUCGCCUUUUCGAUUGCGCAAAUGAAUCUGCCGUGAAUCUCGUCGAGGAAUAGAGUGAUGUCGAAAACGAAUGGAACCUCCUUGCCCUGAAUAUUUUUGAGCUCAUUUUUGAAAAGAAUUACAACCAACAGUCUCUCUUGGCUAUGAUGUGACUAAAGGAAAUGCACACGUAUGAAUAUU